rnacentral:rRNA from 1 species
AAAAAUAGUACUGUAAAUGACUGUAAAUGAAGUUUGAAAUUUUAAUAAAUUCCUUUUGUAUCAGGAUUUUUUUAGAAAAAUAAUUAUUUUUUAUCUCGAAUUUUUAUGAACUAAAAAAUAAUUGUUAAAUAAAUUAUUUUUAUUUUUAGAAAUGAAAUGUUUCGAAUAAAAAUAACUAGUUAAUCUAAAAUUUUUCUAAAGUAAGUUUUGUAAUUUUUAUAUUUUAUGUGUUUAAGAUAGUAUUUAAUCUUUAUAUUAGAUUUAUUAAAAGUUUGUUAUUAAUUAUUUUAAAUUUUUUGAUGAUAAUAUUAUUAGAUUUUUUAAAUUAUAUAUUUAGACUAUAAUUAAAAGAUUAUUAUAAAUUAUUUGAUUUGAAUAUAUAACUCAGCUUGUGUUUGAAUGUUUAACAAAAACAUUUUUUUUAGGUUGAAUGAAAGUAGGGUCUGCCCAGUGAUAUUUAAACGGCUGCGGUAUAUUGACCGUGCAAAGGUAGCAAAAUCAUUUGUUUUUUAAUUGAGAACUGGAAUGAAAGGCUUAACAAACACAUAGUUUUUUAUUUUUAACGAUUAAAAUUUUUAGUUUAUGUAAAAAUACAUAAAUGAUUUAGAGGGACGAUAAGACCCUAAAAGCUUUAUUAUUUAAUUUUUUAUUAUUGUUAAUAUUUGAUUAUAAUGUUAUUUUAACUGGGGCGGUUGUUUUUUAAAACAAAAAAUAUUUUUACAAAUAGGUUAAAAGAUCCUUAAUAUUAGGAUAAAUAGUUAAAGUUACUUUAGGGAUAACAGCGUAAUAAUAAUGGGGAGACCUUAUUUAUAUUAUUGAUUGCGACCUCGAUGUUGAAUUAAAUUUUUCUAUAUAAAGCAAAAAUUAUAUGUGAAAGUUUGUUCAACUUUUAAAAUUUUACAUGAUUUGAGUUCAAAUCGGUUUAAGCCAGAUUGGUUUCUAUCUUUUUUUAAAAAUUAAAUGUUUUAGUACGAAAGGAUUGAA